rnacentral:lncRNA from 1 species
AAAGAAAAAUAAAAUCUAAACAUAAAUUCGAUCUAGUCUAAGCUGGAACAGACAUAACAGGCAUAAACCAAUAUCAAGAGACCUCAACUAAUCUGCAUUCACCACUUGCCGCAAAACCGCAAAAAAAGAGUCAGAAUUACAACGAGAAUGAGAACCCGAUAAUUAUGGCAUCUAUGAUGAUAUGCUCUUAAAGAGCGGAAGACUUCCUGAGUAUCCGCCAACACGAACAAAAAGUCACCAAGGAGCCAAGCACCAAGAGGCCAAGCACCCGCAUGCUCGACCAAGCAUUUAUUCGGACGUGAACCCACCAAGGAGCCACACAUAAAAGACCUAUACAAAACAGACUGAAAGCAUCAAAAACUCCACAAUAAGCACUCCAGGUCCAUUUCACAUACCAAAAUAACACAUCCACUUGAAAGCAGAAUGUCUAGAGACUGAGUUCAGUGUUGGGAUGAUGAGUUCAAACCAAAGAAGCAUGAGCUCCACCUAAACCAACGACCACUUGGAGAGGAGGAGAGCAUCGAACAUGGACAGACCCUGAGAACCAAGGCGCUGACCGGCUUGCAAAAAAAGAACGAAGCAAAAAACAUGACGAUGAAGGCAGCUGAAGAAGGACCACCGUAGACAUCUAGAGGGAGCACCGAGGCUAGAAGAGGACACGAAGGAAGUGCCACAAACUAGGAUAUAGCCGAAAGCCAUAGACGACUCCGACUCAAAAGCCAAGCCGCAUACGCACACGCGCCAACACGAAAGACCGCUGGAGCCGACGAAACCGGGAGUUUCACAAACUCGCCAUUAAGGAGAGACCUCGCCGCACCUUCUGCACGAUGGACAGCGAGAAACCCGAUCGACGAGAUGCCUCACACGACGAAGAAAACAUGUGGAUAUGGUGUUAAUCUAGUAUCCUAUACGCAAAAUGAUGGGGUUUUU